ACCUAUUCUACCCCUGCUACCUGUACCUAUUCUACCCCUGCUACCUGCACCACAACCCCUUUCUACCUGUACCUAUUCUACCCCUGCUACCUGUACCUAUUCUACCCCUGCUACCUGUACCUAUUCUACCCCAGCUACCUGUACCUAUUCUACCCCAGCUACCUGUACCUAUUCUACCCCUGCUACCUGUACCUAUUCUGCCCCAGCUACCUGUACCUUUCUGCCCCAGCUACCUGUACCUAUUCUACCCCUGCUACCUGUACCUAUUCUACCCCAGCUACCUGUACCUAUUCUACCCCUGCUACCUGUACCUAUUCUGCCCCAGCUACCUGUACCUUUCUGCCCCAGCUACCUGUACCUUUCUGCCCCAUCUACCUGUACAUAUUCUACCUCUGCUACCUGUACCUAUUCUACCCCAGCUACCUGUACCUAUUCUACCCCAGCUACCUGCACCACAACCCCUGCUACCUGUACCUAUUCUACCCCAUCUACCUGUACCUAUUCUACCCCAGCUACCUGUACCUUUCUGCCCCAGCUACCUGUACCUAUUCUACCCCAGCUACCUGUACCUAUUCUACCCCAGCUACCUGUACCUAUUCUACCCCAGCUACCUGUACCUAUUCUACCCCAGCUACCUGUACCUAUUCUACCCCAGCUACCUGUACCUAUUCUACCCCAGCUACCUGUACCUAUUCUACCCCAGCUACCUGUACCUAUUCUACCUCUGCUACCUGUACCUUUUCUGCCCCUGCUACCUGUACCUAUUCUGCCCCAGCUACCUGUACCUAUUCUGCCCCAGCUACCUGUACCUAUUCUACCCCUCCUACCUGUACCUUUCUGCCCCAUCUACCUGUACCUUUUCUGCCCCACAGUCUGAAUGAUUGGAAUAGGCACUGCUUCACCCAUUCUCCCUCCCUCCUCGCCCCUUUUCCCUCCUCACCCCUUUCACCCCUUCUCCCUCCUCACCCCUUCUCCCUCCCCCUUCUCUUCUCCCUCCCCUCAUUUCCUCCUCUACUCCUCUCAUCUCAUCCUCAGACUCAACUCAAUAACUAUAGGUUAUACAUAGAGAAGAAGAGUUAA
rnacentral:lncRNA from 1 species